AAAUUGAAGAGUUUGAUCAUGGCUCAGAUUGAACGCUGGCGGCAGGCCUAACACAUGCAAGUCGAACGGUAACAGGAAGAAGCUUGCUUCUUUGCUGACGAGUGGCGGACGGGUGAGUAAUGUCUGGGAAACUGCCUGAUGGAGGGGGAUAACUACUGGAAACGGUAGCUAAUACCGCAUAACGUCGCAAGACCAAAGAGGGGGACCUUCGGGCCUCUUGCCAUCGGAUGUGCCUAGAUGGGAUUAGCUAGUAGGUGGGGUAACGGCUCACC
rnacentral:rRNA from 1 species